GUUUUUGCUGAUUAUGUCUCUUGGUGUCUCUCUUUCUCACAAUUUUCUUGUAUUUCCAGUUUUGGAUUUGGGCUUGUGUUUAACUGAACUGAAUCUAUGAAAAUAUUGGAGGGCCUGGAUUGCAGCACUGUUUCACUUGAGGAUAAUUAAAUGUUAUAUGAUGCCACCCAGGAUUAUAGACUUUAGUAUGAAUGCUCUUAGGGUUUCCCAGAUAAUUCCCAUUUUAACUCCAACUCCAAUGAUGUCAGAACUAUAGUUAACACUUCUCAUGGAGGAAAUUUUCUCUCUAAAAUUGUUAAAUCCAAGAUUAACAAGUUAAUCUGUAUCAUUAUGCCAUUCCUGAUCUACCAUUUUUUUGAUAUUGUAACCUGUCCUAAUAUCCAGCUUUGUAAUUGAGUGUCAAAUUUAAAUACCCAUCCUUCCUAUGUGUUGUAAUAUAUCUUUUGCCUUGUGUAACAAGUUUAAUCUUUUUGAUGUAUGGUAAUUUAAUAUGAUAAUGUGUAAUUAAAUACUCUCAGGGCUUCAGUGACAGAAUCUUCGUAUUCAUACUAAUUCCAUUCUUCCACAAUUGUUUUUGUUAUUCCUGUAUCUUCUUGUUAACAUAACUGUACAUUUAAAAGUUACUGCUGUUCAGAAUCUGUGCUUUUUGUGUGUGUUUUGUGUGUGUCUGAGUGUGUGUGUUUGGGGAGAUUUGUAGAUUCCACAUAUCUAGUGAAUAAUAAUGAUGGCACUGAAAUUUAAAAAUCAUGAAGGAACAGAGACACUUUAGGAGACUUUUAUAACAAUACUUAUCAAAAACUAGCUAAUAGUUCACUGUAGACACUUCUGGCACCAUAAAAAGGCUUAGAGUCUUCCAAAGAAGAGGUAAUUGGCUAUAGUGAAUUUAGACAAAUAAGCAAAGAUACACUUCAACUCACACUUCCCACUCCACACUCCCCCUUCCUAGGAUUCAUGAGAGUGGAAACCAAUUAUAUGCAAGAGUAAAGACAGAAAAUUGAAGGAAGCAUAAUUUUGGUACAAGCUGAAGCUAUUUGAGACUAAUGGGUUGUUUUCAUAUAGAGUCCAGAAAGGUGUAUGGAAUCUAAAAAAACAACUAAAAUGUAGAAUAAUAAGUACUAUUUUGUGGGAAACUUAUUCCUGGUGUGUCAAGAAGACUUCCCAGAGAAAGUCUUACCAAAACUAAGGACUGACAGAGAAAUACGAAUUAUUCAGGCAAAGAGGAGGAGUGUUUGAAGCAUAAAUACCAGUAUCUUUGAAAGUCCACCUGAGAAAAGCUAAGAAUGUUACUUGUUAUUUAUUUCUGUGUUUAAUUUCUAUUAGUUUUUAACAUCAGGUUCCCAACUACUUUAAGAAAUCUUUACUCACAAUACCAGGCAAUUUAUCCUAUGCCUUUGUUAGUUUCCUUAUGGCCCAGGAGCUGUGAAGGCCUCAAAGACUAGCAUACUGGAAAUGUUUUAGGACAUAUUCAUUGCAUCAGUUAAUGGUUACAUAUUUAGCAACAGAAAACAGGCCAGGCACAUAAAUAAAUAUUGAGGAAAAGAAAAUAAGCUCAUUACACUAUAUAACUUAGCCUUUAUAAAAAAAUAAGUGGAGGAAUUUCUGAAGUUAGAAGAAAAAACAUUACAUAGUUUGAAACAAUAGCUAUCAAUAAGGAAGAACAGGCCAAAGCAUAGGGAUGCUCCACAGAUGCACUGUAAGAUAUGGAAUUUCAAAUCUUAAUUAAUUUAAAUUUGAACAGCUUCAUGUAGUCAAUGGCUACUACAUUGGCUAGCACAGGUCUAACAUACUCCAAUGAGAAAGCAAUCACAGGCUUACCUUGGAUUUCCUCUCUCUGAAGAAACGCAGGCCUAUUUUGCUUUUUACCUGUAACUCUUGAAAAAGAUGCUUUAUUUAAUUUGUUAGUUGUUUACAGGGAGAAUGCUAUUCUGAUACUAGAAUUACGUUAUUAAAAAAAUCUGUUAUAAUAUAAUUGAAAUUUUAUUGAAAUUAUAAAUCAUCUAGAGUAAUUUUGUUUUCUUUUUAAUACACAUGUAACAUGUAUAUUCAAAUAUAUAUGUUGGGAACACUAUUUUUUCUUUCUUAUAAGAUUUAAUUAAUCAACAUUAUAAAGACCAUGCAUCGUGCAGAAAAUAAUAAACUUUUCUACCUUUUUUAAAAAAAACUUCAGAUUUGUUACUGUUUGUAAAUUUCUGAUUUUUGAUGGUUAAAGGCAAAAAAAAGAAAAAGAAAGCUAAGCUUGAGUUUCCCAUAGUUGUGCUUUUUGAGAUAUUGUCUAUUCUCCUUCUGAAAUUUUGAUUAAAUUUGUAUAUCAAGCCAGGAAGUUGAAUGCUUUCUAAAACUAUGUUAUUGUUUUUGCUGCUCCCCUCCCCUUCCCUGCACAAAGCUGCAGAGAUCUUCCAACUGUAUUUUAUUCCUUUCUGAAAUUUUGAUCAAAUUUCUAUAUCAAGUCGGGAAGUUGAAUGCUUUCUAAAAAAUAUUUUGUUAUUUUUACCCCUCCCCCCCUGGACAAAGCUGUGGAGAUCUUCCUACUGUAUUAUUUUCUUACAUUCUGUAUUUCUUCUUCGAUAACACGUAUCUGUAAUUAUAAUUAUGCAUUUUAUGUGCGAUUUUAAAUUUUCAUUUCAAUGCAUUUAUCUGUAAUUAUAAUUAUGCAUUUUAUGUGUGAUUUUAAAUUUCCACUUCAAUGUAUGCUUUAUGAAUUCAAAUGUUACCUUUUGUACACCAUUACAUAUUAAAUAUUUAAUUUCUCUAAC
rnacentral:lncRNA from 1 species